UACGAAGGGGGCUAGCGUUGCUCGGAAUUACUGGGCGUAAAGCGCACGUAGGCGGCUCUUUAAGUCGGAGGUGAAAUCCUGGAGCUCAACUCCAGAACUGCCUUCGAUACUGUAGAGCUUGAGUUCGGGAGAGGUGAGUGGAACUGCGAGUGUAGAGGUGAAAUUCGUAGAUAUUCGCAAGAACACCAGUGGCGAAGGCGGCUCACUGGUCCGGUACUGACGCUGAGGUGCGAAAGCGUGGGGAGCAAACAGG
rnacentral:rRNA from 1 species